GAUAACACUUAGAAAUAGGUGCUAAAACCGCAUAAGCGCACGAAGCCGCAUGGAUUUGUGUGAAAAACUCCGGUGGUGUAAGAUGGACCCGCGUCUGAUUAGCUUGUUGGCGGGGUAACGGCCCACCAAGGCGACGAUCAGUAGCCGGCCUGAGAGGGUGGACGGCCACAUUGGGACUGAGACACGGCCCAAACUCCUACGGGAGGCAGCAGUGGGGGAUAUUGGACAAUGGGGGGAACCCUGAUCCAGCGACGCCGCGUGAGUGAAGAAGUAUUUCGGUAUGUAAAGCUCUGUCAGCAGGGAAGAAAGAAAUGACGGUACCUGACCAAGAAGCCCCGGCUAACUACGUGCCAGCAGCCGCGGUAAUACGUAGGGGGCAAGCGUUAUCCGGAAUUACUGGGUGUAAAGGGAGCGUAGACGGUUAAGUAAGUCUGGAGUGAAAGGCCGGGGCUCAACCCCGGGACUGCUCUGGAAACUAUUUAACUUGAGUGCAGGAGAGGUAAGCGGAAUUCCUAGUGUAGCGGUGAAAUGCGUAGAUAUUAGGAGGAACACCAGUGGCGAAGGCGGCUUACUGGACUGUAACUGACGUUGAGGCUCGAAAGCGUGGGGAGCAAACAGGAUUAGAUACCCUGGUAGUCCACGCCGUAAACGAUGAUUACUAGGUGU
rnacentral:rRNA from 1 species